rnacentral:misc_RNA from 1 species
UUUCCGUAGGUGAACCUGCGGAAGGAUCAUUCAUAAUAAAGUGUUUUAUGGCACUUUUUAAAAAUCCAUAUCACCUUGUGUGCAAUGUUAGAUCUCGUCAAUCUUGGCGAGAUUUUUAUACAUCAACUCAUUCUUUAACUAAUUUGUCUGAAAAAUAUUAUGAAUACUUAAUUCAAAAUACAACUUUCAACAACGGAUCUCUUGGCUCUC